AGUGAUGUAGCUCAGUGGUAGAGUGCUUGCCUAGCAUGCACAGGGCCCUGGGUUUGAUUCUCAGCACUGCAA
rnacentral:tRNA from 1 species